rnacentral:rRNA from 1 species
CCUACGGGUGGCAGCAGUGAGGAAUAUUGGUCAAUGGGCGGAAGCCUGAACCAGCCAAGUCGCGUGAGGGAAUAAGGCCCUACGGGUCGUAAACCUCUUUUGCCGGGGAGCAAGGGUGGGGACGUGUCCCGGCCCGGAGAGUACCCGGAGAAAAAGCAUCGGCUAACGCCGGGCCAGCAGCGGCGGUAAUAAGGAGGAUGCGAGCGUUAUCCGGAUUUAUUGGGUUUAAAGGGUGGGUAGGCGGGCUAUUAAGUCAGCGGUAAAAAUUCGGGGUUAAACCACGCCCGGCCGUUGAAACUGGGGACCUUGAGUUGGCGAGAGGCAGGCGGAAUGCGUGGUGUAGCGGUGAAAUGCAUAGAGAUCACGCAGAACCCCGAUUGCGAAGGCAGCCUUCCGGCGCCCUACUGACGCUGAGGCACGAAAGUGCGGGGAUCGAACAGGAUUAGAUACCCGAGUAGUC